GAUGAACGCUGGCGGCGUGCCUAAUACAUGCAAGUCGAGCGAACGGACUAGAAGCUUGCUUCUCUGAUGUUAGCGGCGGACGGGUGAGUAACACGUGGAUAACCUACCUAUAAGACUGGGAUAACUUCGGGAAACCGGAGCUAAUACCGGAUAAUAUUUUGAACCGCAUGGUUCAAAAGUGAAAGACGGUCUUGCUGUCACUUAUAGAUGGAUCCGCGCUGCAUUAGCUAGUUGGUAAGGUAACGGCUUACCAAGGCAACGAUGCAUAGCCGACCUGAGAGGGUGAUCGGCCACACUGGAACUGAGACACGGUCCAGACUCCUACGGGAGGCGGCAGUAGGGAAUCUUCCGCAAUGGGCGAAAGCCUGACGGAGCAACGCCGCGUGAGUGAUGAAGGUCUUCGGAUCGUAAAACUCUGUUAUUAGGGAAGAACAUAUGUGUAAGUAACUGUGCACAUCUUGACGGUACCUAAUCAGAAAGCCACGGCUAACUACGUG
rnacentral:rRNA from 1 species